rnacentral:rRNA from 1 species
UGGGGAAUAUUGCACAAUGGGGGAAACCCUGAUGCAGCGACGCCGCGUGGAGGAAGAAGGUCUUCGGAUUGUAAACUCCUGUUGUUGAGGAAGAUAAUGACGGUACUCAACAAGGAAGUGACGGCUAACUACGUGCCAGCAGCCGCGGUAAAACGUAGGUCACAAGCGUUGUCCGGAAUUACUGGGUGUAAAGGGAGCGCAGGCGGGAAGACAAGUUGGAAGUGAAAUCUAUGGGCUCAACCCAUAAACUGCUUUCAAAACUGUUUUUCUUGAGUAGUGCAGAGGUAGGCGGAAUUCCCGGUGUAGCGGUGGAAUGCGUAGAUAUCGGGAGGAACACCAGUGGCGAAGGCGGCCUACUGGGCACCAACUGACGCUGAGGCUCGAAAGUGUGGGUAGCAAACAGGAUUAGAUACCCUGGUAGUCCACACCGUAAACGAUGAUUACUAGGUGUUGGAGGAUUGACCCCUUCAGUGCCGCAGUUAACACAAUAAGUAAUCCACCUGGGGAGUACGACCGCAAGGUUGAAACUCAAAGGAAUUGACGGGGGCCCGCACAAGCAGUGGAGUAUGUGGUUUAAUUCGACGCAACGCGAAGAACCUUACCAAGUCUUGACAUCCUGCGACGCACAUAGAAAUAUGUGUUUCCUUCGGGACGCAGAGACAGGUGGUGCAUGGUUGUCGUCAGCUCGUGUCGUGAGAUGUUGGGUUAAGUCCCGCAACGAGCGCAACCCUUACUGUCAGUUACUACGCAAGAGGACUCUGGCAGGACUGCCGUUGACAAAACGGAGGAAGGUGGGGAUGACGUCAAAUCAUCAUGCCCUUUAUGACUUGGGCUACACACGUACUACAAUGGCGUUAAACAAAGAGAAGCAAGACCGCGAGGUGGAGCAAAACUCAGAAACAACGUCCCAGUUCGGACUGCAGGCUGCAACUCGCCUGCACGAAGUCGGAAUUGCUAGUAAUCGUGGAUCAGCAUGCCACGGUGAAUACGUUCCC